AGCUACAGACCCGAUUGAUACACUGUACCUUUGAAAUGCUCUUGUACUUUCUUCCAGAACUGAGGUAGCUGCUAAGUGAAGACAGGCUUUUGUAUGCAUUCUCUAGUGGCAAGAAUCCGGGAAAAGUAAAUGCGGUGUCUCUAAGUUUUACUAUAGAUGCUGCCCCCACACAAGUGAAACUCCACUUAGGACUCCACAGCAUCUGCCCAAGCUUUAUUAUGGAAUCCAGGCAACACGAGGCUUUACGACCAUUUCAUCAAGGCCCAGACUCACACCAUUAACUGUCUACAGUGGAGUCCUGGAAUGUUUCCUUGUACUCUUCUUUUGGGGUAUAGAGAAUGCCUUAAAAAGCAGCGUCCCAAAUUUAAACACAUCGAACAGGAACUUCCGGAAUACUUUGCAACUUACCAGUUUGUAUGCUGCUAUACUAUAGAGUGCAAAUGGCCAAUAUGUACCCAUCUAACAAAGCGAACAGUUACCGCUCACUGCGAAAGAUGAAGAGGAAGGGUCCAGACAAAGCCAAGGCAACUAUCCAUUGGUCAACUGGAAAAGAACGAAGCACAAAGGCCAAAUGUUCAGUCAUGUCUUAGUGUUUCCAAUUCUUACACAUUUGGCAAAUGCACGUGAAAUGCUGCACAUUACACACACCUGCCAUCAAGUCGGUGAAUAUACCUGUCUCAUGUUCAGUGGAAAAAAAGCACUAGCUUUACAGUUGAAAAACAUGGUAGAAAAUCAGAAUAUUUAAGAUAAG
ensembl:lncRNA